AGCGGCGGACGGGUGAGUAAUGCAUAGGAAUCUGCCCGGUAGUGGGGGAUAACCUGGGGAAACCCAGGCUAAUACCGCAUACGUCCUACGGGAGAAAGGGGGCUCCGGCUCCCGCUAUUGGAUGAGCCUAUGUCGGAUUAGCUAGUUGGUAAGGUAAUGGCUUACCAAGGCAACGAUCCGUAGCUGGUCUGAGAGGAUGAUCAGCCACAUCGGGACUGAGACACGGCCCGAACUCCUACGGAAGGCAGCAGUGGGGAAUAUUGGACAAUGGGGGCAACCCUGAUCCAGCCAUGCCGCGUGUGUGAAGAAGGCCCUCGGGUUGUAAAGCACUUUCAGCGAGGAAGAACGCCUAGCGGUUAAUACCCGCUAGGAAAGACAUCACUCGCAGAAGAAGCACCGGCUAACUCCGUGCCAGCAGCCGCGGUAAUACGGAGGGUGCAAGCGUUAAUCGGAAUUACUGGGCGUAAAGCGCGCGUAGGUGGCUUGAUAAGCCGGUUGUGAAAGCCCCGGGCUCAACCUGGGAACGGCAUCCGGAACUGUCAGGCUAGAGUGCAGGAGAGGAAGGUAGAAUUCCCGGUGUAGCGGUGAAAUGCGUAGAGAUCGGGAGGAAUACCAGUGGCGAAGGCGGCCUUCUGGACUGACACUGACACUGAGGUGCGAAAGCGUGGGUAGCAAACAGGAUUAGAUACCCUGGUAGUCCACGCCGA
rnacentral:rRNA from 1 species